rnacentral:rRNA from 1 species
GGGUUGUGAGGUUAAGCGACUAAGCGUACACGGUGGAUGCCCCGGCAGUCAGAGGCGAUGAAGGGCGUGCUAAUCUGCGAUAAGCGCCGGUAAGGUGAUAUGAACCGUUAUAACCGGCGAUACCCGAAUGGGGAAACCCAGUGUGACUCGUCACACUAUCAUUAACUGAAUCCAUAGGUUAAUGAGGCGAACCGGGGAACUGAAACAUCUAAGUACCCCGAGGAAAAGAAAUCAACCGAGAUUCCCCCAGUAGCGGCGAGCGAACGGGGAGGAGCCCAGAGCCUGAAUCAGCAUGUGUGUUAGUGGAAGCGUCUGGAAAGGCGCGCGAUACAGGGUGACAGCCCCGUACACAAAAAGCGCAUGUGCUGUGAGCUCGAUGAGUAGGGCGGGACACGUGGUAUCCUGUCUGAAUAUGGGGGACCAUCCUCCAAGGCUAAAUACUCCUGACUGACCGAUAGUGAACCAGUACCGUGAGGGAAAGGCGAAAAGAACCCCGGCGAGGGGAGUGAAAAAGAACCUGAAACCGUGUACGUACAAGCAGUGGGAGCCCCACCACCAAAGCAUUCUCUGGUGUUGAAGGCCCUGCAAAGCAGCAUCGCGGUGGCGGAGCGUCGUUUGCGACGCCCAACACACAAAACAAGCGGUGAAUGCUUUGGGGUGGGGUGACUGCGUACCUUUUGUAUAAUGGGUCAGCGACUUAUAUUCUGUAGCAAGGUUAACCGAAUAGGGGAGCCGGAGGGAAACCGAGUCUUAAUUGGGCGUUAAGUUGCAGGGUAUAGACCCGAAACCCGGUGAUUCAGCCAUGGGCAGGUUGAAGGUUGGGUAACACUAACUGGAGGACCGAACCGACUAAUGUUGAAAAAUUAGCGGAUGACCUGUGGCUGGGGGUGAAAGGCCAAUCAAACCGGGAGAUAGCUGGUUCUCCCCGAAAGCUAUUUAGGUAGCGCCUCGUGAAUUCAUCUCCGGGGUAGAGCACUGUUUCGGCUAGGGGGCCAUCCCGGCUUACCAACCCGAUGCAAACUGCGAAUACCGGAGAAUGUUAUCACGGGAGACACACGGCGGGUGCUAACGUCCGUCGUGAAGAGGGAAACAACCCAGACCGCCAGCUAAGGUCCCAAAGUCAUGGUUAAGUGGGAAACGAUGUGGGAAGGCCCAGACAGCCGGGAUGUUGGCUUAGAAGCAGCCAUCAUUUAAAGAAAGCGUAAUAGCUCACUGGUCGAGUCGGCCUGCGCGGAAGAUGUAACGGGGCUAAACCAUGCACCGAAGCUGCGGCAGCGACGCUGAUGCGUUGUUGGGUAGGGGAGCGUUCUGUAAGCCUGUGAAGGUGUGUCGUGAGGCAUGCUGGAGGUAUCAGAAGUGCGAAUGCUGACAUAAGUAACGAUAAAGCGGGUGAAAAGCCCGCUCGCCGGAAGACCAAGGGUUCCUGUCCAACGUUAAUCGGGGCAGGGUGAGUCGACCCCUAAGGCGAGGCCGAAAGGCGUAGUCGAUGGGAAACGGGUUAAUAUUCCCGUACUUGGUGUUACUGCGAAGGGGGGACGGAGAAGGCUAUGUUGGCCGGGCGACGGUUGUCCCGGUUUAAGCGUGUAGGUGUGUGUUCCGGUAAAUCCGGUUCACUUUAACACUGAGGCGUGACGACGAGGCACUACGGUGCUGAAGCAACAAAUGCCCUGCUUCCGUGAAAAGCCUCUAAGCAUCAGGUAACACGAAAUCGUACCCCAAACCGACACAGGUGGUCAGGUAGAGAAUACCAAGGCGCUUGAGAGAACUCGGGUGAAGGAACUAGGCAAAAUGGUGCCGUAACUUCGGGAGAAGGCACGCUGACACGUAGGUGAAGUGAUUUACUCAUGGAGCUGAAGUCAGUCGAAGAUACCAGCUGGCUGCAACUGUUUAUUAAAAACACAGCACUGUGCAAACACGAAAGUGGACGUAUACGGUGUGACGCCUGCCCGGUGCCGGAAGGUUAAUUGAUGGGGUCAGCGUAAGCGAAGCUCCUGAUCGAAGCCCCGGUAAACGGCGGCCGUAACUAUAACGGUCCUAAGGUAGCGAAAUUCCUUGUCGGGUAAGUUCCGACCUGCACGAAUGGCGUAAUGAUGGCGGGCUGUCUCCACCCGAGACUCAGUGAAAUUGAACUCGCUGUGAAGAUGCAGUGUACCCGCGGCAAGACGGAAAGACCCCGUGAACCUUUACUAUAGCUUGACACUGAACAUUGAGCCUUGAUGUGUAGGAUAGGUGGGAGGCUUUGAAGUGUGGACGCCAGUCUGCAUGGAGCCGACCUUGAAAUACCACCCUUUAAUGUUUGAUGUUCUAACGUGGACCCGUAAUCCGGGUUGCGGACAGUGUCUGGUGGGUAGUUUGACUGGGGCGGUCUCCUCCUAAAGAGUAACGGAGGAGCACGAAGGUUGGCUAAUCCCGGUCGGACAUCAGGAGGUUAGUGCAAUGGCAUAAGCCAGCUUGACUGCGAGCGUGACGGCGCGAGCAGGUGCGAAAGCAGGUCAUAGUGAUCCGGUGGUUCUGAAUGGAAGGGCCAUCGCUCAACGGAUAAAAGGUACUCCGGGGAUAACAGGCUGAUACCGCCCAAGAGUUCAUAUCGACGGCGGUGUUUGGCACCUCGAUGUCGGCUCAUCACAUCCUGGGGCUGAAGUAGGUCCCAAGGGUAUGGCUGUUCGCCAUUUAAAGUGGUACGCGAGCUGGGUUUAGAACGUCGUGAGACAGUUCGGUCCCUAUCUGCCGUGGGCGCUGGAGAACUGAGGGGGCUGCUCCUAGUACGAGAGGACCGGAGUGGACGCAUCACUGGUGUUCGGGUUGUCAUGCCAAUGGCACUGCCCGGUAGCUAAAUGCGGAAGAGAUAAGUGCUGAAAGCAUCUAAGCACGAAACUUGCCCCGAGAUGAGUUCUCCCUGAGACUUUAGGUCUCCUGAAGGAACGUUGAAGACGACGACGUUGAUAGGCCGGGUGUGUAAGCGCAGCGAUGCGUUGAGCUAACCGGUACUAAUGAACCGUGAGGCUUAACCUUACAACGCCGAAG